GGGGGUGAUGAGUCCUUCAGACUAGAGUCUCUGACCACCUUUGCUGAAGACACAGAUCUCUGACCC